CGGACGGGUGAGUAAUGUCUGGGAAACUGCCUGAUGGAGGGGGAUAACUACUGGAAACGGUAGCUAAUACCGCAUAACGUCGCAAGACCAAAGAGGGGGACCUUAGGGCCUCUUGCCAUCGGAUGUGCCCAGAUGGGAUUAGCUAGUAGGUGGGGUAACGGCUCACCUAGGCGACGAUCCCUAGCUGGUCUGAGAGAAUGACCAGCCACACUGGAACUGAGACACGGUCCAG
rnacentral:rRNA from 1 species